UACGUAGGGUGCGAGCGUUAAUCGGAAUUACUGGGCGUAAAGCGUGCGCAGGCGGUUUUGUAAGACAGAGGUGAAAUCCCCGGGCUUAACCUGGGAACUGCCUUUGUGACUGCAAGGCUUGAGUGCGGCAGAGGGGGAUGGAAUUCCGCGUGUAGCAGUGAAAUGCGUAGAUAUGCGGAGGAACACCGAUGGCGAAGGCAAUCCCGUGGGCCUGCACUGACGCUCAUGCACGAAAGCGUGGGGAGCAAACAGG
rnacentral:rRNA from 1 species